GCCAUCUCCAUUUCUCUCUCCUCCAGCCCAAGCCCCUCUGCUCAUUCCUCGUCAGUGUGCCCUAAACGCUUCCCCUCUCUCUCUCUCUCUCACUAACCUCUCUCUCCUCCUCCUUCUCUCGCUCAAGCAAGGCCCCUCGCGAUCGCUCCCUCUCCUCCUUCCUCCCGCCUGUCCGCCUUCAUGCGAUCGGCGCCCGAUUCCGACAGCCUCCCCCGCGCUUCCCAAGCAUGGUCCUAAAGCGGCGUGCUCGUGUGAUCACUUAUGGUGGUGGUGUAAAUCCAAAACAUUUAAGAGUAUCUAGAUGCUCUUCUUCUUAUGGGGUGGACCUGGAGGGUCGAUUGGAUGCAAUUGAACGCAGGCUAGAUCAGAUUGAAGAUGAACUUCAAGCAACUCGGCAAGAAAAUGCUGCUCUUAGGCGUCGAAUGGAUGAGUUUGAAGCGACAUAUCAGGAAAUGAUCCGAUUUGUGCAACAUUCCCGUCGCACUCAGGAUGGUAGCUCAUCAUUGCCUCCAGAAGGAGCACCUCAGGUUAAUAACCACAGGGGCUCCAAGUCAUAAAACUUUUGAGGAGCAGUACUCUGACGCUGUGGACCAUUCAGUUAUGUGUGGAACUGUGAGGCAAAAUGAGAAUCUGGGGAAUGAAGGUGCUUAGGGGAUUUCAGUCUUUCAGCUGCAACUUAGGGGAAGUAGAUAUUAGAUAGUAUUCUCCUUUCGCAUCUUGGUGUUUAUAAGUGUACCUAACAUCUUUAGUAUGGUUUGCUUCAUUGCAAAGUGUGAAGGAGAAGAUAUUUAUAACCUUUAAAAAAGAAAGAAGAAAUCAAAUGAAUACCAUGGUGUUUGUUUAUAAGUCUCAUAUUUACACAAUGGUAUAGGGAGACUUGUUUGGAACAAGCUGGGCAUUGAACUGAAUGGCUACAAUAUUGAAUGGAUUUAUGGAAAUUAAGGUCUUGUAGGAGCGUAA